UACAGAGGUCUCAAGCGUUGUUCGGAUUCAUUGGGCGUAAAGGGUGUGUAGGUGGCGCCGUCAGUCGGGUGUGAAAUUUCGGAGCUUAACUCCGAAACUGCAUUCGAUACUGCGGUGCUUGAGGACUGGAGAGGAGACUGGAAUUCAUGGUGUAGCAGUGAAAUGCGUAGAGAUCAUGAGGAAGACCAGUGGCGAAGGCGGGUCUCUGGACAGUUCCUGACACUGAGACACGAAGGCCAGGGGAGCAAACGGG
rnacentral:rRNA from 1 species